UACAGUAUGGACACUGAACUUUUUAUGUGGUCUCCAAUUUUUAGUGUACAUGCGUCGAUUUCCAACCAGGAAUAUGGCUGCCUUCAAUAAAGCCUGCAGCACACGAUGCUUGUUUUCCUGCUGGAUUGCUAGCUGUGAUGCUAGCACCGACAACAUUACAGCUAAUACGAUGACAAAAUUCUAAUUCAGUUAGCAAUCUAGCAGGAAAACGAGCAUCGUGUGCUGCAGGCUUAAGUUGAAAUUGCAGAAUCGGUUAUCAAAACGAAAAACACUACAAAUGCUGAAGUGGAAAGGUACAUGCAAGAGUGGAUGCGACGGGCCGGCGAUAGAAUAAGAGACUGCUAGUCCAAGUUCCGCAUGCAUGGAGCUGAGGGGAUGAACGCAACAGGCAUUGAAUUAUAAGACCGAUUUGGUCGUAUCCAGGCUCCGGACCGCAAGCGAGCCGAGGGAAAGGACCGACGCAAAUUGAGAAGCACUUCGUCCUAAGGCUCCUAACGAGCCGGAGGUCGAAGUGGAAACCUCAACUCAUGCUCCGCUGAACGGAUACACGAGUCGGACGUACUUUUAAUUUAAACGGUCCAAACUGGGUCAGUGUGUCGGGAGGGUGCACUUUAACGCCAGAUGUGCCAGUAUGUCCGUAUGUUUCGGCUUUCGGUCAUGAAACUUAAUCCAAGUGACCAGUGACAAGUGAAGGGCGAAGUGGAAUUGCGGGAGAGCUUACAAUAAAUACAAGGAGAGGUUUUUCAAAUUAACAAACGAGGAUUUAAUUUAAUAGUACUAUAACAAAACCAAUAUUUAGUAAUAUAUUUUUCUUAAGUAUAAAAUAUAAUUCUUUGGUUCUUUAUUCUGAAAUGUGUUAACGUAAGGAUUUAUAUUGUCUGAGUGUGUGAAAGUAGCAGUAUUGUGUAGCAGAAGGGAGAAGUUACGGAGAGGAUAGCGAGGGAAUAAAAAGAGAAGGAAAAAGAGAAGUUUUGGUGAGUGGAUUUGAGAGGGUUCGGCCUGAUUUUCCUCGGAUGAUGACAGGGAGCAAGCAAUUACCGUGAGGCAAAGGUAACAGAUUGAAAUUAUAGUGUGAACGGAUUGCAAUGUUUUUAUUUUCUUGUACAUAGGGGGGCAAA